rnacentral:rRNA from 1 species
GACGAACGCUGGCGGCGUGCCUAAUACAUGCAAGUUGAGCGAUGAAGAUUGGUGCUUGCACCAAUUUGAAGAGCAGCGAACGGGUGAGUAACGCGUGGGGAAUCUGCCUUUGAGCGGGGGACAACAUUUGGAAACGAAUGCUAAUACCGCAUAACAACUUUAAACAUAAGUUUUAAGUUUGAAAGAUGCAAUUGCAUCACUCAAGGAUGAUCCCGCGUUGUAUUAGCUAGUUGGUGAGGUAAAGGCUCACCAAGGCGAUGAUACAUAGCCGACCUGAGAGGGUGAUCGGCCACAUUGGGACUGAGACACGGCCCAAACUCCUACGGGAGGCAGCAGUAGGGAAUCUUCGGCAAUGGACGAAAGUCUGACCGAGCAACGCCGCGUGUGUGAAGAAGGGUUUCGGAUCGUAAAACUCUGUUGGUAGAGAAGAACGUUGGUGAGAGUGGAAAGCUCAUCAAGUGACGGUAACUACCCAGAAAGGGACGGCUAACUACGUG